rnacentral:rRNA from 1 species
UACAGAGGUCUCAAGCGUUGUUCGGAUUCAUUGGGCGUAAAGGGUGCGUAGGUGGCGCUGUAAGUCAGGUGUGAAAUUUCGGAGCUCAACUCCGAAACUGCAUUUGAUACUGCGGUGCUUGAGGACUGGAGAGGAGACUGGAAUUCACGGUGUAGCAGUGAAAUGCGUAGAUAUCGUGAGGAAGACCAGUGGCGAAGGCGGGUCUCUGGACAGUUCCUGACACUGAGG